UCUCUCUCUGCAUAUACAUACACUGAUUCAUAUCUAUCUAUUUUCACCUGCUGCUAGUACAUUUCCACAUCAAAUCAAUAAUCAUAUCCCACGUUCUUCUUGCCCAUUCUACAUAACUAUUCAGAAAUUUCAGAUUAUCAUAACACACACUCCUUCUCUAUCUAAAACAAUCUUUCUUCUCUCUCUAAAAUGUCAAUUAACCAAUACUCUUCAGACCUACCAGAAGAAUACUGGUGGACAGACCAACAACAUACUGAAAAAACCUCAUCUUCUUAUCAAGGUAUCACCACUGCCUCUGCCGCUAUGUUUUGCAGCAAGAACACAGCUUUUGGCUUCAAUUUAAACGAAGAAGAAGAAUUUGACGAUGAGAGAGAGAAUAAUUGUAAAGAAGAAUUACAGGAGAAUGAAAUCACGAAAGAAGCAUUAUUCGAGAAGCCAUUGACUCCUAGUGAUGUGGGCAAGCUCAACCGCCUUGUUAUACCUAAACAACACGCCGAAAAAUACUUUCCACUCAACGGCGGCGACUCGGGAGACAAGGGUUUUCAAUUAGGAUUUGAGGAUGAACUUGGAAAAUCUUGGAGGUUCCGUUACUCUUACUGGAACAGCAGCCAGAGCUAUGUAUUGACAAAAGGUUGGAGCCGUUUUGUGAAGGAAAAGAAGCUUGAUGCUGGAGAUAUUGUUCUUUUCCAGCGCCACCGUUUGGAUUGUACUCGGCUUUUCAUCGGGUGGAGGCGCAAAACCGCUGCUCCACCACCAUCUACGAUUGUCGCCAGCGGUAGUGGGUGGAACCAUUACUAUUCUGGCCAUCCUUGUCCGACCCAGCAGUAUGGGAUUACUCUCCCGUACCAACCUGACUGUCUUCAUGCGGAUUCAUGCCGCACGUGCUGUUACAACAGGAUCAGCAAUGCAGAAUCAGACAACAGGAAGCGGGAACUCCAAGAAGCUAAGGUUGUUUGGUGUGAACUUGGAAUGCCGAGCAGACGAGUCUGAACCCGAACCUGAACUCGAGCCUGAGUUGUCGACACCUGUUGGUUCACCCAUGUCGAGCCAGGGUCAAGCGCACUACCCCCAAUCUCACCGCUACAAUCACAUGGAUAUCAAUUUCACUGGAGAUGAUCAUCUAUAUCGCCAAGGAUAAGAUCUGUGGAUGUGACACUACUGCAUAAUUUGACAUGUUCAGCAAUUUCAAAGGUGAACAUUGAACACCACAAAUAUAUUUAUAUUUCAAGAAAAUGGGAAGUAAAUCAAAAUCCCAGAUUUUGUGGGCACUUCUCUCACUAGAAAAAGUUGGGAUUUUUCUGCUGCUCCUGGUUCAGGGGAAAAGGGUAGAAUUCCAAGUGAAAAUGAAGGUGAAAGUUGAAAGAGACUUGAGGAAUGGGAGUGGCAAUGGGUCCCACUAGAUAUGAAACUGACAUGAUCAGGUCCCAGCAUGGAUGAAUAUGGAUCGCUGCAAUCAAGAAUCAACAUGUUGUCAUUUGCUACUGUAGAGAUUCUGCCUCAAGAUUUUUCACUCUUUUGACUAUAUAGGUUUUAAAAAAAAAAAAAGAGAGAAUUACUUAGCCAGUGGGACAACGAACCUCUCCUUUCCCUCUAAUGCAAUUACUUCCAUUUUUUCAUACCUAGUGGAAGUUCUUUUUCUUGAAUAUAUGUACUAAAGUUCAUUUGUAGAAAUGAUGAAAUCUCGGUUCUAGUUGUUUGGUGCC